rnacentral:rRNA from 1 species
CAGCCGUAAACUAUGCGCGUUAGGUGUAUCGGUGACCACGAGUUACCGAGGUGCCGAAGGGAAACCGUGAAACGUGCCGCCUGGGAAGUACGGUCGCAAGGCUGAAACUUAAAGGAAUUGGCGGGGGAGCACCACAACAGGUGGAGCCUGCGGUUUAAUUGGACUCAACGCCGGGAAGCUCACCGGAUAGGACAGCAGAAUGUUUGCCGGGCUGAGGACCCUGCAUGACUAGCUGAGAGGAGGUGCAUGGCGUAGACGUCU